rnacentral:rRNA from 1 species
UACUUUAAUUUACACAUGCAAGUCUCCGCCCCCCCGUGAAAACGCCCUUAAAUUCCUCCCCUACCCCGGGGAUAAGGGGCUGGUAUCAGGCACGACUCUUUGGCCCAAGACACCUAGCUACGCCACACCCACACGGGAACUCAGCAGUGAUUAACAUUGAGCAUAAGCGACAGCUUGACUCAGUUAAAGUAAAAAGAGCCGGCAAAUCUGGUGCCAGCCGCCGCGGUUACACCACGUGACUCAAAUUGAUCUCUUUCGGCGUAAAGCGUGGUUAAAGUUUUUCAAAAUUACAGCUAAACUAGAAUUAAGCCGUGACACGCUUAUGCCUAGGAAGACCAAAAACGAAAGUUGCUGUAACUAAAACAACUUGAACCCACGACAGUUGGGGCACAAACUGGGAUUAGAUACCCCACUAUGCCCAACCGUAAACUUUAAUCUACACCCAUAUCGCCCGGGAACUACGAGCAAUGCUUAAAACCCAAAGGACUUGACGGUACCCCACAUCCACCUAGAGGAGCCUGUCCUAUAAUUGAUAAUCCCCGUUUGACCUCACCAUUUUUAGCCUAUCAG